UACGGGGGGGGCAAGCGUUGUUCGGAAUUACUGGGCGUAAAGGGCGCGUAGGCGGUUCGCUAAGUUGAAUGUGAAAACUCUGGGCUUAACCCAGAGCCUGCAUUCAAUACUGGCGGGCUAGAGUUCUGGAGGGGAUAGCGGAAUUCCUGGUGUAGCGGUGAAAUGCGUAGAUAUCAGGAGGAACACCGGUGGCGAAGGCGGCUAUCUGGACAGAUAUCGACGCUGAGGUGCGAAAGCGUGGGGAGCAAACAGG
rnacentral:rRNA from 1 species